GUUGGCUCAGAAGCAGCCACUCAUUCAAAGAGUGCGUAAUAGCUCACUGGUCGAGCGUCUUUGCGCGGAGAAUUUAACGGGGCUAAACCUGACACCGAAGCUUAGGCAAUACAGUAAUGUAUUGGGUAGGGGAGCGUUGUAUACGCGGUGAAACAGUAGCGCAAGCGGCUGUGGAGUGUAUAGAAGUGAGAAUGCCGGAAUGAGUAGCGCGAAUGCAGUGAGAAUCUGCAUGGCCGAAAGCCUCAGGUUUCUGGAGGAAGGUUCGUCCGCUCCAGGUCAGUCGGGAGCUAAGGUGAGGCCUAACGGCGUAGCCGAUGCACAGACGGUAGAGAUUCCGUCACCACCAAAAGAGUUAAACACAGGGACACAUAUGAAGUCUCGGAGCCGGGUGUUGGUUCCGGUAGCGAUCGAGGGAAGUUAGUACCGAAGUCCGGGAUGGAAGAUGGCGAGAAAAGCUGUGUGAAUUUCUGCGGUGCCCGUACCGCAAACCGACACAGGUAGGUAGGAAGAAGAUUCUAAGGCCAACGGGAGAAGGGUUGUUAAGGAACUCGGCAAAUUGACCCCGUAACUUCGGGAGAAGGGGUGCUGCAGCAAUGCAGCCGCAGAGAAUCGGCCCAAGCAACUGUUUACCAAAAACACAGGUUUGUGCUAAAUCGAAAGAUGACGUAUACGAGCUGACGCCUGCCCGGUGCUGGAAGGUUAAGAGGAGAUGUGCAAGCAUUGAAUCGAAGCCCCAGUGAACGGCGGCCGUAACUAUAACGGUCCUAAGGUAGCGAAAUUCCUUGUCAGGUAAGUUCUGACCCGCAUGAAAGGCGUAAUGAUUUGGGCACUGUCUCAACAGCCCGCCCGGCGAAAUUGUAGUACCGGUGAAGAUGCCGGUUACCCGCGACAAGACGGAAAGACCCCAUGGAGCUUUACUGUAGCCUAAUAUUGGGUUUCGAUGUUGCAUGCACAGGAUAGAUGGGACACUGGGAAGCAGGUGCUUUGGCGCUUGUGGAGUGGCCGUUGGGAUACCAUCCUUGCGAUAUUGGAAUUCUAACCUGCGCCUUUGAAUCAAGGCGGGGGACAUUGUUAGGUGGGCAGUUUGACUGGGGCGGUCGCCUCCUAAAGAGUAACGGAGGCGUUCAAAGGUUCGCUCAGCUUGAACGGAAAUCAAGCAAAAGAGUGCAAACGCAGAAGCGAGCCUAACUGCGAGACUGACGGGUCGAGCAGUAACGAAAGUUGGAGUUAGUGAUCCGGUGGUAUGUGAGUGGAAAUGCCAUCGCUCAACGGAUAAAAGUUACCCUGGGGAUAACAGGCUGAUCUCCCCCAAGAGUCCACAUCGACGGGGAGGUU
rnacentral:rRNA from 1 species